UGAGCCAAGUUUAGGGUUUUCUCAAAACCCAAGCAGUAUUGAACUGAAGAGUUUGAUCAUGGCUCAGAUUGAACGCUGGCGGCAGGCCUAACACAUGCAAGUCGAGCGGAUGAAGGGAGCUUGCUCCUGGAUUCAGCGGCGGACGGGUGAGUAAUGCCUAGGAAUCUGCCUGGUAGUGGGG
rnacentral:rRNA from 1 species